rnacentral:rRNA from 1 species
GAACAAAUAGAUAGUUGAAUGUGGGAUGCGCCAGAUCCCAUCAGAACUCCGAAGUUAAGCAGGCUUGGGCGAGAGUAGUACUAGGAGGGGGGACCUCCUGGG